CCUACGGGCGGCUGCAGUGAGGAAUAUUGCGCAAUGGGCGAAAGCCUGACGCAGCGACGCCGCGUGGAUGAUGAAGCCUUUAGGGGUGUAAAGUCCUUUCGACAGGGAAGAAUAAGUAUUGGAAUAACAAGACGGUACGAUGACUGUACCUGUGGAAGAAGCCCCGGCUAACUACGUGCCAGCAGCCGCGGUAAUACGUAGGGGGCAAGCGUUAUCCGGAAUUACUGGGUGUAAAGGGCGCGUAGGUGGUCGUAUAAGUCAGAUGUGAAAUUUUAAGGCUCAACUUUGAAAUUGCAUUUGAAACUGUAUGGCUAGAGUGCGGGAGAGGAAAGUAGAAUUCCCGGUGGAGCGGUGAAAUGCAUAGAUAUCGGGAGGAAAACCAAUGGCGAAGGCAGCUUUCUGGACCGCAACUGACACUGAGGCGCGAAAGCGUGGGGAGCAAACAGGAUUAGAUACCCUGGUAGUC
rnacentral:rRNA from 1 species